AGCAGCCGCGGUAAUUCCAGCUCCAAUAGCGUAUAUUAAAGUUGUUGCAGUUAAAAAGCUCAUAGUUGAAUUUCGAGAUCGGCUUACUGGUCGUGCUUUUGUACGUACUGGUAAAUCGGUUUCUCCUUUCUGACGAACUUUAAUGCCAUUAAUUUGGUGUUUUAGGGAAUCAGGACUGUUACUUUGAAAAAAUUAGAGUGUUUAAAGCAGGCUCACGCUUGAAUACAUUAGCAUGGAAUAACGGGAAUAGGACGUUUGAUUCUAUUUUGUUGGUUUCUAGGAUCGACGUAAUGAUUAAUAGGGAUAGUUGGGGGCAUUAGUAUUCAAUUGUCAGAGGUGAAAUUCUUGGAUUUAUUGAAGACUAACUACUGCGAAAGCAUUUGCCAAGGAUGUUUCAUUAAUCAAGAACGAAAGUUAGGGAUCGAAGACGAUCAGAUACGUCGUAGU
rnacentral:rRNA from 1 species